CCUACGGGUGGCAGCAGUGGGGAAUAUUGCACAAUGGGCGCAAGCCUGAUGAAGCCAUGCCGCGUGUGUGAAGAAGGCCUUCGGGUUGUAAAGCACUUUCAGCGGGGAGGAAGGCGGUGAGGUUAAUAACCUCAUCGAUUGACGUUACCCGCAGAAGAAGCCCCGGCUAACUCCGUGCCAGCAGCCGCGGUAAUACGGAGGGUGCAAGCGUUAAUCGGAAUUACUGGGCGUAAAGCGCACGCAGGCGGUCUGUCAAGUCGGAUGUGAAAUCCCCGGGCUCAACCUGGGAACUGCAUUCGAAACUGGCAGGCUAGAGUCUUGUAGAGGGGGGUAGAAUUCCAGGUGUAGCGGUGAAAUGCGUAGAGAUCUGGAGGAAUACCGGUGGCGAAGGCGGCCCCCUAGACAAAGACUGACGCUCAGGUGCGAAAGCGUGGGGAGCAAACAGGAUUAGAUACCCGUGUAGUC
rnacentral:rRNA from 1 species